GACGAACCGUCCAAACGUUAUUCGGAAUCACUGGGCUUAAAGGGUGCGUAGGCGGCGCGGAAAGUUGGGUGUGAAAUCCCUCGGCUCAACCGAGGAACUGCGCCCAAAACUACCGUGCUCGAGGGAGAUAGAGGUGAGCGGAACUUAGGGUGGAGCGGUGAAAUGCGUUGAUAUCCUAAGGAACACCGGUGGCGAAAGCGGCUCACUGGAUCUCUUCUGACGCUGAGGCACGAAAGCUAGGGUAGCGAACGGGAUUAGAAACCCCCGUAGUCC
rnacentral:rRNA from 1 species